AGAUUAAUAAUAAAUCUAAGCUAUAACAAAUCCUUAAUAUUGAUCGUUUAGAAAUGUUGCCGAGGGUUCGCCAGGUAUAAUUUUAGUAAACAUAAUUAGCUUUUGAAUGCACGACUUAACAGUUGAGUAAUUUUACACAUACAUAUUAAAAGACAAUUUAAAGUACAUAAUAUUACAGAUAGAUACAAUUUCUCAGUAUUGAGGCAUCAGAAUAGUUAGUGCAAGCAUAAUACAAAUAUAAUUGAGGAAUUUCCUAAAACGUGAUGAUUUCUUUUAUACAAAUAAAGUGCAUUAUAAAUCUUUUUUUUUUUUUACAUUCCACUGUAGUUUUACAAUAUUACAACAUUAUACAUUAAAAUUAAACAGUAUUUCAUUUGCGAAAGUCACAUCUGUCUAUAUUUUCACGAUUACAUGUAUAUAACAGAAUAUAGAUAUAAUAUAUAUAACUGUGCAGUAUCACGUUUGUCAGAUAAGCGUCUGUUUGUUUCGUUUUUCAUUCAUUUUGUGGAAAUUCCGUCUUUCUGAUGCAUCUAUCAGAGCUUGUCAUACAUAUAAAACAUAAGUGGUUCUGAAAUUAGAAAGCAAAAUUACAUAUCUGGUUUUAAAUACUACAUGUACAUGUUUAUAGAUAUCAACAGCCAUAAAAUCACAUCUUCUAUAGAUACGAUAUAUCUUUUGAAACAUGCUAAUAUUUUAAAAUUAAAUACGCGCACAUGUAUAAAGUACAGGUUAAAGAUCAAGGUAUUUAUAUGCCUGCGCUUUUGGUGCGUGGCAUUCCCUGUUUGAUAUUUCUCUUUGUUUUUUUGAACAUGUAUUAUUUUUUUUAAUUGCGAUCAUGCUACAAGUGUAUACGCCGAGUCGGAUAUCUAUUUAUUUAAAAAAUACUGAAUAUUCUUUCAAAAGUAUAAAAUUCUGAAAGACUUAUAUCUAGAGUAAACAUUUUAUAAAUACAUUUGUAUGCACUGAAAACAUUUUUUUUAUAUAAAUUUCCUUUCUUUCUUUUAAAUAUUCAAAUGAAAUAAACAAUAAAUGAUACAAGUUUUAAACAAAUCUGCCUCCAAUAUCAGCUAUUUCUCUGCAGCGUAGAAACAUCAGUCGUCGGUCAUGUGGCACCAAGUCUGCUGUUUCGCGUUGUUCACAUCGGCGUCCCAUAGUUUCGUAAUAAUUCUCUGUUGUUGCUGAAUUCUAUAUACACACAUCUCGUUGCGAAGUAGUAGAUGGCUGUGGGAUCCUGAAUUUGCUAAUCACUAAAAUUGUCUAAAAUACUUCCAGUUAUAUAGUUUCAAAUUGUUGAAUCUUUGCAGUUUUCAACUAGGGUAAAAUAAAGUCUUUAUAUCAGCUGGGAAAAUAGUCUUCAUAAUCAAUUUUAUUUGCAAACUGUGUCGGGUAUUUUCAAUAAGAAUUGCAUGGGGAAUAAAAGUAUAAUACUCUGACGAGAAUCUGACAUCGUGUAAAUAUAUCUGUUGCUAAAAUGUUUCUUGUUUGUCUUGUUUCUUUUUUGUUUUUUAUACAGAAUUUCAGAUUAUUUCUUUUUCAUUUAACAUUUUUCAUAAAUUCUGUCUGAACAAAGUUUCUUUAAUUGUAGAUGGAGAGAAAGACUGAUAUAUCAUUAUAGCUCGAGGUUAUUUUUCGUUGAUUGUUGUAUUAUUCAUGAUUUUAUCUUUUAUCACUUUGGCGUUCCACCAGGAAGUUGCUGAUAUAGUUGACUGAUAAUAAGUCCUUGAGGGCUGUUAUUGUUACGCAGUCUCUUAUUGGUCAAUAUCGUGCGUUCAACCGUGAAUUUGUCAGUCCCUUUUUGCAUUCGUGGCAGAAACUUAGCUAACUGACCAUUAUAUUUUUUGCUUGUAUUGUGUGCAGACGUGUUUUAGAAAUUUUGUUUAAAAUUUAAUUAAAAUUCCACCGUAAUACGAGCACUCAGAUAUUAUAAAAGGAUAUAACAAUGGACAUGAGGAAUGAUUUCACGUAUUCAAGUUAUUAUAAGGUAAGUAUAUUAUAUAUAUUUAUCCUUUAAUUUAUAUAAAUUGUUUUAAAUAAAAAAAAAUACUCUAACAUUUAAUUUGCUUUUGCAAACAGACUUAUAUUUUAUGAAUUAUUUUGCCAAAAUUAUUCGGGCAAGUGAAUUUGAUACAUAGUUAAACGAAUAACAAAAUUUUUGUACUGGUUGCCGCAUUUUUCUUUUUAUUUCACAGCAUUUGUGACCAUGUUUACUUUAUUUAAAGAUAGAACAAUAUAACUUUAAAAUGAAUACUUUAAGGAUAUGAACUUUGAACCAUGUAUAUUUGAUACAAAAAAUAGAAUUAAUACGAUUACAGCAAUUUAUUCAUUUUGUGGAAAUGUAUCGCGGUAAAUGUGCUUUAACUAUAAUUGCUAGUAAAAUAAUGUGCUUGUUCUCACAAAAAAGGUAUGAGAACACUAAAUCUAAAUCAACAAAAUCAUAUAUGCAAUAAAAGUAAUUAGUACGUAUUGUAAGCCUUACUUAUUCGGCUUAUUCUAUGAAAGAUUAUUAAAUUGUUGUUAUGCCUAUACAUUUUAGUUUUAUCUGCAUUUUACUAUUAAGAAAAAAUACGUGUAAAAAAAAUUCAAAAGUCAUUAGAUACUGGCAAAGCGUACGUGCUUUAAUAAAACAUAAAUCUCGCAUAGAAAACUUCAAAUGGGUUGAAUAUAACUAUUUCUUUUUUUUUUAUCUAAACUGAAAUCUUCAGAAAUACGUUUAAACAGGUGCUAGGAGAUAUUUACCAUGACACCGGAUUUUGUAACAGGUGCGUGUGUAAACCUUUCAUGACACCGGUUUCUGGAACAGGUGCGUGGAGAAAUCUAUCAUGACACCGGUUUCUGGAACAGGUGCGUGGAGAAACUUAUUGUGACACCGGUUUUAAUACUCUAGGUUAAAGGUCAGUAAUUCAAAUCCUUCUUUGUUUCAUAUUAAAAACGACAACUUCAUGUCGUCUUUACGUAUCUUUAGAAAACAUCACUUUUUCCUACACCAAUUUUUCAUGAAAGUUCUAUCACAAAUUAACGAAAAAAUGAAAAGAAAAUAGGGGGUUGAAUAGUUCCUAGUGAAAUGCCAGUCAGUUGUGGUCUGCUACCCUAAAAAUGGCGCAUAUUUGCUCUCCUCCGCGCAAUAAACACCUACUUCCGGUUUCGAUCUGCAAAACUUGCCAUGUGGGUUGUAUGAACAUGAAAACCGUCUCAUUUCAUGCAGAAUGUAUUCUAGUAGCGAAAAAGUGUGAUUAAAGCACUCGUUCUACACGAAUUUGCGCAGAAAAUGGGAAAAUUAGGAUCUAUUUAUUAUGGACUUCUUUCGACUACACCACGGAAGCACAUUUUCGACCGAAUUACUGACCUUAUUCCUAUAACUACAGACUGCAGCUGACAUUAAAUUGCAGAAACGAAACACAAAAAAUACAUUAAAAAUGUUAGCCAGGCAAUUUUAUUUAUUGUUCUCACAGGUCUCAGAACACUAAAUGAUUUGACAUUAAAAUAUUCUGUUAACAUAAUUACAAAUGUGAAUAACAGCAUAGAUAUUCUGUUCUAAACAGAAUUAAAGAAAAAAAAAAGUUACUUUGUGGUUGUAUCUUGUUUUCUCUACUAGCCUUUUACUAUGCAGAAAAUAUAACUUUGUGCAUUAGGAACUUAACCAACACCGAACAGUUAUAAUAAUAAAUGUAUGAACAAUAACUUUAAUUGAAGAUAUUUACAAAACAAUACAGUGUAUAUGAAUAUACACCUUGGUGAAGUCAUUUGGAUUUAUCAACGUCAUCAUAUAGCGCUACUUUUCUUACCAAUCUCUUGUGUAUCAUUUUAUGCUAUAAAUAGCAAAAUAUUCUCUAAGAUAGGACCUUCGUUUAAGCCCUGUAACAAUUGUCUAACAGUUAAAGUCUAAAACAAUGUCUUUAGCAGACCUUGCAUCAUUUCAUUUUUGCUUUUUUCAUUCUCAGCCAUGUGACUUAAUAUCAUUUGCAGAUAUUUUUGUUUGUCAUCAGUAUCUUGUUUUAUUACAGGACUAGGUCUCUUUGUGUGUCUUGUAACAUUUUCAAUAACCAUGUUACUUUGAUUAUUUUCAGACUCGUUUGGCAAAGACUGUGUAUCCAUGUCAUCCAUCUCUAUGGACUGAUCAGAAUGCGAAGCACCUGAUUCCAUACGGGAUUCAUUAUCAAUCAUCAGAAGCAUCAGAUUCAUCAUUACUGCUUGAGCUAGAAUCAUCUGGAGGUAUUACAUAGUUAACCCUUCGUCUUGGACAAACUUUGACAGCUUGCGUUCGGGUCAUUCAGCAAUGUCAGCAAGCCUUAUCUGAUCUGCAUGCACUUGAACAAUUGAGUUGUCAAGCUGGUUCUUAAUAAGGACCUCCCUAAAGGCAGAACUCGUAAAUUCUGACCCUCGGUCAUGAAUUAUCUGGAGAGGACAUCCAUAUCUAGGAUAUAUCUCACUCAAAAAUUCUGGUGGUCGUGAAAAGAAAUCAGCAAUAACAUUUGCCUUUCCUGGAAGAUACUCUAUCUUACAGUUGUAACCACUAAUAGACAAUGCCCAUAACUGAAUUUUCUUGUUUUGCAUUGGGCUUUUUAAUAAAUACUGAAGCGGAGAAUGGUCGCAUUUGAUUGUAAAUUCAGCAUUGUGUAAAAAGAAAUCUAGACGUUGCAAAGAAUAAAAUAUGGCAUAUGCCUCUUUUUCAAUAGUGCUGUAUUUCUUUUGUGUUUCACUUAGUUUAUGAGACAGAAAAUAUAUAGGCCUUUCUUUAUUUUCAUCUGAUUCUGGUGAAUUACACGCUUGAGUUAAGCACGCUGCCACAUGACUAUCGCUGGCAUCGGUAUACAGUGUAUACGGCUUGUUUGGAUCUGGGUAAGAUAAGAAAGGAAAAGCUGUUAAUUGUUCUUUAAUUUUCUCAAAACUUUUCUGACAUUCUUCUGUCCAAAUAAAUGGAGACUUUUUCCUUGUAAGGUUUAUAAGAGGUUCUGCUAUUUCUGAAAAUGAGGGGAUGAACCGUCUAUAGAAUGAGGAAGCCCCAAUUAUUUUUCGAACUUCACGCACAUUUUUUUGAACCGGAAGUGACCUAAUAGCUUUAUCUUUAUCAGGAUUUGGUCUAAUACCAUCUUCGUUUAUGACAAAACCUAAGUAUUCGGUUUUAGGCUGCAUGAAUUGACACUUUUUCAACUUAAGUUUAAGUUUAUGCUCUCUUAACCUUUGAAAAAUAAUGUCUAAGUGGCGUUUAUGUUCUUCUAAUGUUUUACUGAAUAUAAGACAGUCAUCUAAAUAUGCCACAGCAAAAUCUAUCCCUCUAAGACUUUAGACAUUAAUUCCUGGAACACCCCAGGGGCAUUAACUAAUCCGAAGCACAUAACGUUAAAUUCGAAUAGACCCCUGAAUGUGGUAAAUGCAGUUUUUUUCUUUAUCUUUUUCAUCAAUCGGUAUUUGCCAAAAUCCUGAGCGACAGUCUAGGGUAGUAAAGUAUUUUGAAUCACCUAAAAGAGCCAAUAUAUCAUCGAUAUGAGGUAGAGGAUAUGCUGUGGGUCUCACCAGGGCGUUGAUCCUCCUAAAGUCUAUACAAAAUCUAGUACUGUUGUCGUUUUUCUUUUUUUUAACCAGCACAACAGGACUUGCAUAAGAGCUUUGAGAAGGUCUUAUUACGUUAGCCUUAAGCAUUUCAUCUAUAGCAUCACUCAUAUUUUUUCUAUCAUUUAAUGGUACUCUAUAUGGUCGCUGUUUUAUCGGUUCAUGUUCUACAGUAGGAAUUUUCAUUGUAAUCGUAUCUGUCUGUGACAAUUCUGAGUCAUUAUUCGCAAAAACGUCCCCAUUUGUUUGAACAAAUUUUUCUACAUACUGAAAGUGUUCUUUUGGUGCUAUUAUUUCUUUUGUAUUUAUACUUGAUUUUUCACCCUUAUUGUAUGAUAAUUUAUUGACAUCAGACACAGAAGCUAUACAUUUUUCAUCAAUUUGUUCAACAGUUGCAACAGCACAUCCUUUUCUUAAUUUAAUUGUUCUAUUUGUAGCAUUUACUAACAUAACACGAAACCUAUGAUGUUUUCGUAAUUUUAUGACUGAAUUAGCUACCAUUAAACCAGGUUCUGUACUAAGAUAACCAUCUUCAACACUUUUUAAUUCAUAUGUUUUAAAAUUCUUUAGUUUAGAGUCUUUUCGUAAUUGUCCUGAACAAAUAUGCACUGUUUGAGGUUUAAUUACAGUAUCUUUUUGCAACCUAACUACUGAAGCAAUAUGUACAUCUUGUUGUAAUGUGACAUAGCUAUUUUUAACUCUCAUUGAUAAAAGAUCAAAAUAAAUUCUGCAUUUGUUCUGAAUGAGAAAGUCCCUUCCAAGUAUUGCUUUUCUAUUCAUAUUUGAGACCACAUAAAAUUUAUGUUCUAUUUUUUCACCACCUAUUCGAAAAAUAAGAUUGGUGUAUCCAUCUACAUGCAGUGAAUUACCAUUUACAGACUGUAAUGAAACUUUAUGAUUUUUAAAUAGUUUUGGCAUUCUAUUUAAUGAUUCAUAUGUCCUCCUGUUAAUUAAUGAGACUUCUGCUCCAGAGUCUACUAAUGCCCUAAUCUUCUGUUUCCCUAUUCUAAUUGUACAAGAGUUUGGAUUCCCUGCUAGCGCUAUCAAAUACGUUGAUAAAUCAUUAUUCCUACCAUCGACUUCUUUAUGAUAGGAAGAUCUUAGUUUAAAGGCCUAAAUAUAUUCCUUUUAGGUCUCAACACACUCUUACAUUCCCUCAUAAAAUGUCCUAAUUUCCCACAAUUCCAGCAAUCAAUAUAUUUUUUCCAAUCAUAAUUGUUUUGAAAUUUACUUUGGCUUAAUUUCUGCAUAUGUCUAGUGGCUUUCUUUCGUAAUAACACUGCAUGAACAUAUUUCUGACGUGUCCUACAUUGCUUGACAUUAUGACCUAGCCUUCGGCAAUAUUGACAACGAAUUUGUGGCUGAGUGUGAUCUAAGUCUUUAGCUUUUUGACAAAUUUCUGAAAUAUUUUGCUGGCAAGUAACAAUUCCGAAUCGUAAAUUAAACCGAUCUUUUAAAUUUUGUUCAUUCAUAGCUGACGUAACUGCAGCCUGUAAAGUUUCCGGCGAAUCACGCAUAACUUUCAUUUUCAAAAAAAUUUUCUGUUAACCCAUCAAUAAAAUUACCUAUUAACUGUUUCUGAAUAAUUGCUAAAUUAAUAGUAUGAUUUUGACCUUGAUCCUGAUUUUCAUAGGCAUCUUCUGCCAGAGUUAAUAAUCUUUCAGCAUAGACAUUUACAUUUUCAUCAGGUUUUUUUUGUUUUAUAUUUUGCAAAAGAUAUAAAGCAUGCUGUGAGUCAUGUACUGUAGAAAAUCUAGUAAAUAAAGCAUGUUUUAAAGCAGCCCAAGUACAAUCUUGAUUUUCGUUCAUAAAUCUAUGUAUAAAAUCUGACACUGACCCUGUUGCAGUUUGAUAGCAAAUUAAUUUCUUUCUAUCAUCAGUUAAAUCAUUUAAAAUAGAAUAUUUUUCUAUUGAUUUUACCCAUGACUUAAAAUCUUCAGAAUUACCAUCAAAUUUUGAAAUCAUAUGUCGUACGCUCUGAGUUCCUAUUGCGGUGGAAACAUUUUUUAACUGAAUAGCCAAAUCUUGAAAAAUUUGCUGAAUUGAAGCGUUGUCUGCCAUUUUAAAAUAAAUUAUUUAACAAGCAAAUAGAAUAGACAGUUUUCUAACCUUGUUUCUCGGCGUGAUCUUCUAGUGGUAUUGCGUACUUAAUCGUAGUGCCCCGACAACAUUCCAAAGGUCCAUCCUGGUCUGCGGCUCCAGAAAUGCGCGUUGUAACGUAGCGUGGCCAUUUAGUACAACAAACAUAACCUUUUAACCAGUUUUAUUUACCAUAGCAACAGUCUUUAAUAUUUAAACAUAACAUUUUAGCUAGAUAUUAUUAAGUAAAGGUGACCUUAUCAAUCUAGCAUCUAUAACCCAUCUUUCUCUCUAACUCUAAAUCUAACUCCCGAUAAUUAUAUUUCAGCAUAUAUAUUUAAUUAAGCAGUCUAGCCGCUAUGUAAAAUUACGCAAUUCGUCGUGCCUUUUCCUUAAACAUAUUUAACUUUGAUCCCGGAAGUAAAUGGUAUAAACAUCUAAGUAUACCUGUUUAACCCUUGGGCUACAUGUUUUGUGACAGGUUUGAUAAUUCAGCAAACUUAAAAUAUUUUCUAUUUAGAUUCAAGUAUUACAGUUUAUCAUCUUUCUCCGUAACAUAUUAAACAAUGAUUUAUAUAAUAUACAAUAUUCCGAACCUUUCAAACCUGUUACAUUACAAAAUCCUACUACCUUAGGAUCUUUACAAUGAUGUAUAACGUAAAUCUGGAUUUUGCAACAUAAAGCAAAAUGUACUAAAGAUCUUGUUACUGAUCUGUUGGAUCAAACUGUAGUACGUAUUAACACGGACGUCAUACUGAGACAGCAAAAAAUAAUCGAAAAGUUAAUCUGAUGUUAAAAAAGGAAACUGUAAAAACUAAAUAUAAUUUUUAUUUUUGUUAACAUGGCGAAAUAUUUAGACCUUGGUUCAGGCAGAAAGUGUUCCAGGUGCAAAUAAGUUGUGAAAUUUAGUAAUUGAACAUACUUCUGAGAAGAAUAAAAUUAUUUAAUAACUUAAAUUUGGGCUUAAUCAUUCAACUUGUCCAAACCUGGGUAUCUUAAGGAUAUGAAAUCGUUUACAAUGUUGUCAUUAUUGCAAACUAAAACAAAUACACGAAAACAAGUGUGAAUUGAAAAUGCUUAAUAUGUUAGGGAACGACUUUAAAAUAGUGAUGAAUUAAGAGAUCAGUCCCGAAAUAAUUUUCGGUCGAGUUUGCACUUGGUGUUUAUCUAUUGUUGGUUCAUAUGGCAACGAAAUACACUCCAUAUGGUAUUAAAUUAUCUACACAAGGUCCUGCAACACGCAAUUAAUACACACCAUACAAAUUUUGCACGGGUAGUAUUUGAUUCACAUGAAGAAAGAAUGAUUCUGCGAUUUUGUUAUAACAGCGCUUUGAACCUAAAUUAAAUUUCAUUUAGAUUUGAAAGAUUUACAAACAUAUUGAAAGCAUAUAACAGCUUUUAUUUGGCACACCAGGUGAACAUCGCUUUUUAUUGUUUUACGAUGUGUGGAGAUGCUUAAUGAUCCCGUAGAAUUACACUAUUCAAAUAUAUGUUACACUUCUGCCAGUAUAAAAAAUGUAGUUCCAACUUACAAUUGACCCCCGAACGUAAAUUAUCGCUUGAAUAUUAAUUUACUUAGACAACAAACAUAUUAGUCGCACUUGCUACAUUCUGCUCAGAAUUAGACCUUGCACUAACCUUUUCCACCUACCAAUAGCUAGUCUUUAUUUCGACUGUAUAAAUCGUAUAGAUACUGUAUUAAUGUUGUCUGACGUGUAUGAAUGAUAACACCUCAUCAAAUCGACAUACAGCUUUAAAUAUAUACGAUUAACGGUUUAAAGUGACAUCGUCUAAAAAGUAAUUAACUGGUUGACAUGUUAGAGAUAGAAAAAAGUAUGAUAAUCCUUACAUAAAUGUAUAAGAUUUAUCCCAACACAUUUCUGGCUAAGUAUAUUCACAUUAUUAUAAAUAGAAAUUACAAAAAUAUCACAUGUAGAAACGUGUUGAACCAACGGAGGUUAUAGAAUGAAUAAGUUUACUGAAACUUUUCUCAAUUGAUAAUGACAACACUAUCUGGUUUUCCUGGUUCAUCCAUUUCAAUAGAAAUAUGUGAAAAUUUUCUAUAUUCCUUUAAGGUUUCACAAAUUAAAAGCUAUUAAAAUUGAUUGAAAAUGGCAAAAAUGUGACUUAUAUGUAAAAAGUAAAAGCAAUUUCAAUAAAAUUACAUUACAUAAAAUAUUUUGAACGGAAUUUGAACCCAUAUUAAAAAGUCUGAGAGCUAACCAUUACGCCACCAUAUCAUGGGUUAACUGUAUAAGUUAUUUUUAACUUAGUACAAAUAUUGUCAGGAAAUAUCUGUCGCGUAUCAUAACAAAGAAGCCCGAAAAUAUUGGCGAAUAUUAAUGAGUGCCAGGUAAAUACUUACGGGCGAUGCGUAUUUUCGUACGUCAAUAAUGGAGAUUGUCAUGAAAACAAAAACGUACGAAACCCAAUUCAAUACGACACGCAACAUGUAGCAAAUGUAACUUUAAGUUCGACUGUAAAUGUGCAGAGUUAAAAUAUGUAUCUUCUAAUGGAUUGUUACCGUUCAUUUUAUAAUAAAAUCUGUAAAAAGAUCCUUUGGAAGCACAGAAUGCAACCAAGCAAAAUAAUAGCAGACUCGGUUUGAUUGAGUCUGUUCAUGAGAGGUAAUUGAAAGUGCAACACCUCUCACGCCCCCUAGCACCGGCUUAAGUGGAAUGGAAGAUAUUGAAUGGACUCCAUGAUCCCAAAGGACCAGAAAAUAUAACAGCACUGAAUCCAAGUACGGGGAGACUGUUUACGGCCCGCACACGGCACUUAAAGAUUGCUGUUGUGAUAGUUAAUAAAAUCUGUAAUAACAGACUCGGUUUGAUUGAGUCUAAAUAAAGAAUAAAUUAAACUAAUCUUGUAUAUUUCUUUAUAACAGCAUAAAUCUUAUGUUGAGACUUCCUUUGUGCUAGAUUAUAUAUUGAAAAGUUCUUGGUGCUUUCAUGUAUGUGCCAAAUUGUAAACGUAUGUAAUGCAGAUGUCAUUAAGAAUCAGACAUAUACAAACCUAACAAGCAUACACUAAAAGCAGCUCAUAUGCACAUAAAGUGAGACUUUUAUUACAAAAAUGAGAUUAUAAUAUAAGCCAUGGCAUAAUUGUCAUAUUUAGCAGUAUGCAUUCCCUUCCAUAUCUACCUGACCGCUCAAAUAUUAGAAUAGGACAGAUCAGCAUAGAAUGUAUUUUGUUUACCAAUUAUUAACCACUUUCAUCUUUGUUUGUACUUUUACUUUAAUUCAGGGGACCAUUUUUAAUACUGUUGCCAUUUUGUAACGACCAAAUGUAUAACCAAAUUGUUUUAUUUUUACAUGUUUGAAACAAUACCAGACAAUUUUAUCAGAACAGAACAGAACAGAAAUUUAUAUACAAAUACGGACUUGAACAUAGCAGUUCAUUGUCAAUUAUCUUAGAUAUGUUUAUUUGAAAAGCUACGAUCAUGUUCCAGGCUGCCAUUGUGAGAAUAGUAAUAGAAUAUCCUGUAAAACACCUGUAUAUAAUCUGUUGACAAUUCAACUUGGUGAAUCAGUAAAAUGUGAUUCAAGUGCGGGAAGGAAAUAAUAUUCCAAGUGGUCAUUUUGAAAAAAAGGCGGCCAUCUUGAAUGAGACUCAGGUCAGUUUUAAAAUGAAGAUAUUCUAAAGGUGUCAUACUUGUAUCAAUAUCUGCACUAUUUUCCCUAAUAAUCGCCCAACUUUAUGUAAGAUGCUAAAGAAGAUGAAUAUUAAUGUGCAUAGUGUAAAAGACAUUGAAAUAACAUCUAACCUUGUGU